rnacentral:rRNA from 1 species
UACGUAGGGGGCGAGCGUUGUCCGGAAUUAUUGGGCGUAAAGGGCUCGUAGGCGGUUUGUCGCGUCGGGAGUGAAAACUCAGGGCUUAACCCUGAGCCUGCUUCCGAUACGGGCAGACUAGAGGUAUGCAGGGGAGAACGGAAUUCCUGGUGUAGCGGUGAAAUGCGCAGAUAUCAGGAGGAACACCGGUGGCGAAGGCGGUUCUCUGGGCAUUACCUGACGCUGAGGAGCGAAAGUGUGGGGAGCAAACAGG